AGAGUUUGAUCCUGGCUCAGGACGAACGCUGGCGGCACGCUUAACACAUGCAAGUCGAACGAGAGAAGAGGAGCUUGCUUUUCUGAUCUAGUGGCGGACGGGUGAGUAACACGUGAGCAAUCUGCCUUUCAGAGGGGGAUACCGAUUGGAAACGAUCGUUAAUACCGCAUAACAUAAUUGAACCGCAUGAUUUGAUUAUCAAAGAUUUAUCGCUGAAAGAUGAGCUCGCGUCUGAUUAGCUAGUUGGUAAGGUAACGGCUUACCAAGGCGACGAUCAGUAGCCGGACUGAGAGGUUGAUCGGCCACAUUGGGACUGAGACACGGCCCAGACUCCUACGGGAGGCAGCGGUGGGGAAUAUUGCACAAUGGAGGAAACUCUGAUGCAGCGAUGCCGCGUGAGGGAAGAAGGUUUUAGGAUUGUAAACCUCUGUCUUCAGGGACGAAAAAAGACGGUACCUGAGGAGGAAGCUCCGGCUAACUACGUGCCAGCAGCCGCGGUAAUACGUAGGGAGCGAGCGUUGUCCGGAAUUACUGGGUGUAAAGGGAGCGUAGGCGGGAUCGCAAGUCAGAUGUGAAAACUAUGGGCUUAACCCAUAAACUGCAUUUGAAACUGUGGUUCUUGAGUGAAGUAGAGGUAAGCGGAAUUCCUAGUGUAGCGGUGAAAUGCGUAGAUAUUAGGAGGAACAUCAGUGGCGAAGGCGGCUUACUGGGCUUUAACUGACGCUGAGGCUCGAAAGCGUGGGGAGCAAACAGGAUUAGAUACCCUGGUAGUCCACGCCGUAAACGAUGAUUACUAGGUGUGGGGGGACUGACCCCUUCCGUGCCGCAGCAAACGCAAUAAGUAAUCCACCUAGGGAGUACGACCGCAAGGUUGAAACUCAAAGGAAUUGACGGGGGCCCGCACAAGCAGUGGAGUAUGUGGAUUAAUUCGAAGCAACGCGAAGAACCUUACCAGGUCUUGACAUCGUAUGCAUAGCUCAGAGAUGAGUGAAAUCUCUUCGGAGACAUAUAGACAGGUGGUGCAUGGUUGUCGUCAGCUCGUGUCGUGAGAUGUUGGGUUAAGUCCCGCAACGAGCGCAACCCUUACUGUUAGUUGCUACGCAAGAGCACUCUAGCAGGACUGCCGUUGACAAAACGGAGGAAGGUGGGGAUGACGUCAAAUCAUCAUGCCCCUUAUGACCUGGGCCUCACACGUACUACAAUGGCUGUCAACAGAGGGAAGCAAAGCCGCGAGGUGGAGCGAACCCCUAAAAGCAGUCUUAGUUCGGAUUGUAGGCUGCAACCCGCCUACAUGAAGUCGGAAUUGCUAGUAAUCGCAGAUCAGCAUGCUGCGGUGAAUACGUUCCCGGGCCUUGUACACACCGCCCGUCACGCCAUGGGAGUCGGUAACACCCGAAGCCUGUAGUCUAACCGCAAUGAGGACGCAGUCGAAGGUGGGAUUGAUGACUGGGGUGAAGUCGUAACAAGGUA
rnacentral:rRNA from 1 species